AGAAUGAACGCUGGCGGCGUGCUUUACACAUGCAAGUCGAGCGAGGCGGCCCGCAAGGGUCAGUCGAGCGGCGAACGGGUGAGUAACGCGUGGAUAACCUGCCCUUCAGCGGGGGAAUAACCCGGGGGAAACUCGGGCUAAUACCGCAUACGACCGAAAGGUGAAAGGAGGCUCGCAAGAGCUUUCACUGAAGGAGGGGUCCGCGUUCGAUUAGCUAGUUGGUAGGGUAAUGGCCUACCAAGGCGACGAUCGAUAGCCGGCCUGAGAGGGUGAUCGGCCACACUGGAACUGAGACACGGUCCAGACUCCUACGGGAGGCAGCAGUGGGGAAUUUUGCGCAAUGGGCGGAAGCCUGACGCAGCAACGCCGCGUGGAGGAUGAAGGUCCUUGGAUUGUAAACUCCUGUCAGCGGGAAAAAGCGAGGUGACCUCACUACGUCAUCAAGUUGAUUCGUACCCGUCGAGAGGAACGCCCCGGCUAACCUCUGUCGCCAGCCGAGCCCGUCGGUAAACUCGUAGACGGCGGGUACG
rnacentral:rRNA from 1 species